rnacentral:rRNA from 1 species
ACCCGCUGAACUUAAGCAUAUCAAUAAGCGGAGGAAAAGAAAAUAACAAUGAUUCCCUCAGUAACGGCGAGUGAACAGGGAAAAGCUCAAAGUUGGAAUCUCCCAGUUUUAAAUUGGGCGACUUGUAAACUAAAGCUCUCAAGUAGUUCGGCUAGCCUGGUAAUCAAGUUCUCUGGAAAGGGACGACAAAGAGGGUGAAAUCCCCGUUUUUGGCCGGAGCAUAGUCUUGCGUUUGCUUGGAAGCGAAGAGUCAGGUUGUUUGGUAUUGCAGCCUAAAGUUGGAGGUAAAUCUCUCCUAAAGCUAAAUAUUGACGAAAGACCGAUAGCGAACAAGUACCGUGAGGGAAAGAUGAAAAGCACCUUGAAAAGGGGGUCAAAAAGUACGUGAAAUUGCUGAAAGGGAACCGUAUGAAAUCAGCCUGUAUCUUUAGUAAUCAGUCUGGGCUUUGGCCUGGAUGCACUUGCUAGUGAUUCAGCUUGCGACAGUUUGGUUUGGAGGAAAAAAUCAAGGAGAAUGUGGCUUUCACUUUUGGUGGAAGUGUUAUAGCUCUUUGAAAAAUACUCUGGACUGGACUGAGGACUGCAGCGAGCCUUUAGGGAUGGACUGUGGGAGCUUAUUGUUUGGUAGGAAGGAAUCUCUGCUUCGGGUGGUGCCUUUCAAUCAAGUAGUAACCCUCCCACUUUUCCUUUUUCUUGCUUAGGUCGCAAGCAUAAUGAUUUUAUAUGACCCGUCUUGAAACACGG